AAACAAUAGAACCCUGCCCAAAACACAAUAGAAAAUGUUAUUGAUUUAUUCCAAGAUAACACAUGACGUACCGGUUACGUAAUGGAUUGGUACUUUUUGGUAAUUUCACGAUUUAGCAACUGGCAAGUACACAGCACUGGUGGCGGUUGGAGUAACCAUAGCAACCUGGGGACAUAACGGCGCCUGAAGAAGACAUAGGCCUACCUCCGGCUCUCCAGUACCUUCCUGAGAAUUGGCAUCAAGCAGAUUGGAUCAUCAGUCAAUCAGAACACGUCGUGUUUACACUUGGCAACAUCAACUGACUUUUCUAUCUGGAUAAAUGAUCAGAUCUGUCCUUUCCCGCGCAAUAUUUAAAUAAGUCGGCAGAGAAUGGCCUGGUGCAAAGUCAACUUGAAGUGGUGGGUUUUCUUUUGAAAAGCAUUUUCAGUCACGGGACAUUUUACAAAUCAAAGAGAAAUGUAGGAGUCUCACUAGUGCUCUUUUUUUUUUGUCUUUUUUUCUGACAGUUCAUGAGAGAGGGGGCAGCGUUUUGCGUGAUGUCGACCUGCGAAUGCAGACACGAUGACUGGAUUGCAUUUACAUUACACUGAGAUCCAAUCACAAUGCGUCCUCCACUACCUCUGGACCAGGACACACUGAUUGGAUAACAUUCUGAUCAGAAAUGCUCCUUUGCUCCACUGCUCCAGUUCCUCCACCACACCAUCAGAUCACCUGCAAGAGACAAUCUUCAAUUACCCACAGCUAAGAAACUUGCAUACCUUUACUUCCUCUAAAUACUCACCUUCAGACUGUUGCUUCUCAUCCUGCUGCCCG
ensembl:lncRNA